UACGUAGGGUGCAAGCGUUAAUCGGAAUUACUGGGCGUAAAGCGUGCGCAGGCGGUUUUGUAAGUCAGAUGUGAAAUCCCCGGGCUUAACCUGGGAACUGCGUUUGAAACUACAAGGCUAGAGUGUGACAGAGGGGGGUGGAAUUCCACGUGUAGCAGUGAAAUGCGUAGAGAUGUGGAGGAACACCGAUGGCGAAGGCAGCCCCCUGGGUCAAGAUUGACGCUCAUGCACGAAAGCGUGGGGAGCAAACAGG
rnacentral:rRNA from 1 species